ensembl:lncRNA
AAUAGCUAAAUAAAUCUUUAAUAUUUCUAAUUGCAAAUGUACAGAAAUUGCACAGCCACACAGAGUCUUAGAACACCAACAGCUUCCUCUGUACAUUAUUACAUAGUUAAAAGUCGCAGCUGGAGGGAGGAGCUCCAGCCCAAACUCCAAUGUUUGCAUUUUUUCCUUUUCACAUACUUACAAAAGAGGGGAGCUGGGACGCGGUGUGGGGGCUGGGGGGCUUUGUGGCUGAGUGUGUAGAAAAGAGGGGCUGUUUCCCUGGAGAGUCUGGCUCCCGCAGUUGUGCGGGGCGCAACGGGAGGUGUACUUGGGGCAGAUGCUCUGGGGGACCGGGGCGUGUGGAGCUGUAGCCUCGGUCCUCCACCCCCACUCUCUGGGCAGUUGGAAAGAGUCCUCACUGACAGGAGGUUUGGCAGUUUCCAUCACCCAGAACAUGAAGUUAAGCAAAAAAGUCAGUCAGGCCUCUGUGCUAGCGGGGAGGGCGUGGCUUUUUCCAGCAGAGGCUGAGUCUCAGUGACCAGGGGGCCCCAGGGCUGUGUUUUUCCCCAGCAGGGACUGUCCUUCCCUCCAGGGCCUCUGGCAAUCCCAUCCCUGGCUGCAGGCAGGGCCCAGCUCCUGGGAACUCAGGUUCUCUGUGGCCUGGGCAGGAGCCCCUGUUGACUGGCCCAGUGAAAGCACCCCAGCAGCCGCUACCCAGACAGCAGCUGCAAAGCCAACACAUAAAUGCCACAGGUAGGGAAAACAACCCCUGCAGACCUCAAGCCUCUUCCUCCUGCCCAAUACUGUUCUCUAGAUUCAGAAAUAAAAUAAAACCCUUGGGAGAGCAGCAGUCCCGGCCAGCCCUCGGCAGCACCAGGACCAAAGGAUAUGUACAAACAUUAGGUGAGAUAGUUACAUUACAGUCAAACACCAAGAACAUUUACAAAAUCGGCAGACUUGCAAUUAAGAUAAAAAUCUGUGAAGAGUCUGUACACUUUUACAGUUUUUGCACUAGGUAAAUAAGGCUCUCGGCCUGAGAGCUCACCCACCCCUGCAAGGGCAGCUGGCACCGGCCACAGCGGGUGGCCUCCGAGCCCACCUGUCCAGGCCCUGGGAGCCUCCCCAUAUUGCUAAGGAGGCUCUGUCCGAGGUCACUCUACGAGGCAGCGGUGGGAGGGGGCUGGGGAGAGGAGGGCAGGGCUCACUGGGCAGUGGGAGGAUGAGAUCGGAGCCAGGCCCUGCCUGUGUGGUCACCCUGGUCUCAGGCACGAAGGCGCAUGGGUGGGGACAAGACAGGAGUGGAGCAGGAAGGGGUGGGGGCAGGGCCUCUGCUCCUGCCUCCCAUCUUCCUGUGGUCUGUGACCCCUGGUGGCCCAGCCCUCCCUCCACCAGCAUCUGUCUCUAGCCUAACUGAAUUGUAGGUUACAUCUAAGAGCCCCUUCCCAGAGCAGCUGCUGUCACCUGUCCCUGAGCUCAGGGGUGAGCACCAGGUGGCACUCCCUACAGGGCCACUGUGCCCUGGGUGUGCUGGGCCCCAGGAGAAGGCAGAUACAGUGCUCAGAGCCAUCUGGCCAGAUCCACCCAGAUCUUUGGCUUCUGGGAGCCCUAGAGCAUCAGCCUGGGCCUGUGUGGGAAGUGUGGGAAGCUGUGGGUCCUCCCCACAGGGAUAAGAGCUCACAAGAAAAAGCCAUGGCCCUCACUGGGUCUAUCUGGCAAUACAACUAAGGCAGGGAAGAAGGUGGCAGGUGGCGCUCUGGGGACAGGUUCAGAGGGGGUGGGUGGGUAGGAAUCCUCAGUUCCUCACAGCCAGGAAGGUCCCAAUAGGCCGCAUGCAGUGACAGGUGCUUCGGAUGGAGACAGGCAGGGGACACUGACCUCCUGCCCUGUGUCCUCCUAUCUUCCUGCCUGCCAACCAAUCCACCAAGUGCCAGGUCCCACAGGACAGGGCUUGGCUGCCAGGGAGUCCUGGGCCCCCCAAGGAGGUGAGGGGAAGCCACAGGUAUAGGCCCCUAGUCCUUGAAUCCCCCCUCCAAGAAGCCCCCUCCCUGGCACGGAUGUGGGGAACAUGCACUCGGCCAGAUCCAGGAGGACAAGGACACGCCACAUUCAGGAACCAACAGACAUGUUUUUGGCAGGCCCUCUGCCUCACCAGGCUGUCCCCACUCCCCAGCGUGCAGUCUCUUCUGCCCGCACCCCACAGGGAGCGGCUGGUGACCUCGCCUCACGCUGCUUCAGUCUCUGGCGGCUCCCUCUGCGGCCACCUCCUGGACAGCGGCGGGGAGGGGAGGCUCGGCCUCCUGACACCUGCGCUGGGGCUGCAACCGUGGGUGCCUCCCCAGGCCGAGACCCUGCCCUUGGCCACCACAGUCCCCCUCUCCUUGGGUAGCUUCCUCCC